rnacentral:rRNA from 1 species
GACGAACGCUGGCGGCGUGCCUAAUACAUGCAAGUCGAGCGAAGCGGCGGUGGGGUGAGAAACGCGUGGGUAACCUGCCUUUAAGUUUGGGAUACCAUUUGGAAACAGAUGCUAAUACCGGAUACUAAAGGAUGGACCUCCGAUGCAUUAGCUAGUUGGUAAGGUAACGGCUUACCAAGGCGAUGAUGCAUAGCCGGGUUGAGAGACUGAUCGGCCACAUUGGGACUGAGACACGGCCCAGACUCCUACGGGAGGCAGCAGUAGGGAAUCUUCCACAAUGGGCGAAAGUCUGAUGCAGCAACGCCGCGUGAGUGAAGAAGGUUUUCGGGUCGUAAAGCUCUGUUGUUGGGGAAGCGGUAAUCAACCAGAAAGUCACGGCUAACUACGUGCCAGCAGCCGCGGUAAUUC